GAUGAACGCUGGCGGCGUGCUUAACACAUGCAAGUCGAACGAACGACUAUUAACAGAACCUUUCGGGGCGAAGAAUAUAGAAGUUAGUGGCGGACGGGUGCGUAACGCGUGGGUAAUCUGCCUUUGUCAAAGGAAUAACUAUUCGAAAGAAUAGCUAAAACCGUAUAACAUAUUAAUAGGGCAUCCUAAUAAUAUCAAAACUGAGGUGGACAAAGAUGAGCCCGCGUCUGAUUAGCUAGUUGGUGAGAUAAAAGCCCACCAAGGCAACGAUCAGUAGCCGACCUGAGAGGGUGAACGGCCACAUUGGAACUGAGACACGGUCCAAACUCCUACGGGAGGCAGCAGUGGGGAAUAUUGCACAAUGGGGGGAACCCUGAUGCAGCAACGCCGCGUGAGUAGGGGAAGAAAGAAAUGACAGUACCCUAAAAGAAAGCCCCGGCUAACUACGUGCCAGCAGCCGCGGUAAUACGUAGGGGGCAAGCGUUAUCCGGAAUAACUGGGCGUAAAGGGUGCGCAGGUGGUUUAACAAGUUAGUGGUGAAAGGCAUAGGCUCAACCAAUGUAAGCCAUUAAAACUGUUUAACUUGAGUGCAGGAGAGGAAAGUGGAAUUCCUAGUGUAGCGGUGAAAUGCGUAGAUAUUAGGAGGAAUACCAGUGGCGAAGGCGACUUUCUGGACUGCAACUGACACUGAGGCACGAAAGCGUGGGGAGCAAACAGGAUUAGAUACCCUGGUAGUCCACGCCGUAAACGAUGAGUACUAGGUGUCGGGUGAAGAACUCGGUGCCGAAGUUAACACAUUAAGUACUCCGCCUGGGGAGUACGCUCGCAAGAGUAAAACUCAAAGGAAUUGACGGGGACCCGCACAAGCAGCGGAGCAUGUGGUUUAAUUCGAAGCAACGCGAAGAACCUUACCUAAACUUGACAUACCAAUGACAGCCUUUUAAUCGAGGACUUUUACCUUCGGGUAGACAAUGGAUACAGGUGGUGCAUGGUUGUCGUCAGCUCGUGUCGUGAGAUGUUGGGUUAAGUCCCGCAACGAGCGCA
rnacentral:rRNA from 1 species